GACGAACGCUGGCGGCGUGCUUAACACAUGCAAGUCGAACGAAGUGGCGAACGGGUGAGUAACGCGUAAUCAACCUGCCCUUCAGCGGGGGACAACAGUUGGAAACGACUGCUAAUACCGCAUACUGAAGGAGGGGAUUGCGUCGGAUUAGCUAGUUGGGGGGGUAACGGCCCACCAAGGCGAUGAUCAGUAGCCGGUCUGGGAGGAGGAACGGCCAAAUUGGGACUGAGGCACGGCCCAGACUCCUACGGGAGGCAGCAGUGGGGAAUCUUCCGCAAUGGACGAAAGUCUGACGGAGCAACGCCGCGGUAGUGAUGACGGCCUUCGGGUUGGAAAGGUCUGUUAAUCGGGACGCGGUACCGGAAUAGAAAGCCACGGCUAACUACGGGCCAGCCGCCGCGGUAAUUC
rnacentral:rRNA from 1 species